UGGAUACCUAUACAGAUCGGAUAUAUGUUCGGCUCUGCAAGAAACCUCAAGAUUUAUCACGAUCAUCAAUCACAGUGAAUGGCUACUCAUGCAAAGGUGAAGAUGUGAUCUUCAUAUUUUUUAUUUUAUAUUUUAAUUUCAGAUCUUAAAAUCAUGAUCCCGACCUAGAUGUAUGAGAUAUGAUCUCAUACACCCGCAUGUCGGAUUGGAUCCC
rnacentral:lncRNA from 1 species